UUAUAGCUUCCGAAGCUUUCACGUACAUCUCAAUUACUUUUGGAACCGCGCAUGCCGGAAACUCUCUUCCUCUUUGAAAUAAAAAGAGGAGACUUUCCUUCAGCCUCUUGUUCUCAGAGGCUAAGUUUAAGAAACUUUUACUACACACUUGCAAGUCACAACUGCAAGCGCUGAUACCAAUGACUUGGCCCUCUUCCGUAGAAUCGUAGAAUGGCUUGGGUUGGAAGGGACCACAAAGGUCAUCUCCAACCCCCUGCCAUGGGCAAGGGUGUCAAUCACUAAAUCAGGCACUAGAUCAGGUAGUCAAGGGCCCCAUCCGACCUCUGAGGAUUGGGAAGUACCGAGGACCCAUGGUUGCUUCCAUCACUCUUGCACUUAAAUAGGAUGACUUUUUUACAUUUAUUCAUUGACAUGCCUUGCUUGGAUUUCAAGAAAACAAAGCUCAGGAGAAAUGUGCAAGUGAUUUCAAUGCAAUUUCUUGUAACAUAGCUCUCUCCCAAUCCCUGGCCACCUCCCUGGGAAGUCAGUCAGCCUUCCACGGUGACCAUCUGACAACAGGCAAGAGACAGGGCUGAGAAGCACCAGGGGACAACCAGGAGGAAAAUGUGCUCCAUCAUCAUAGCUGCAGUGAGCUAAAUUACAGGCAACAGAUCCAGCUGUACACUGAGGUGGAACAGGACAGCCAAGUGCCUGGGAUACAAUGCAGCAGGGUCUGACUCACCGUGCAAUGAGUAACUCUGACAGCACUUCCAGCACACUCCCGUGCACCCUGUUCUUGUUUUCACCUCCUCACCCCAGGCCUUGGCUCACAUUACAAAUGCAGCAGACAUAGUGAACAACCCCUCUUUCCAGAUGACACACACAAAGCAUAGUGCAUACCCUCAGGACACCCUCACUCCUGUUCCAUGUGGUUUAUCUGCCUUGGGCCCUUAUCCUGCUAACAGAGAAUUCUGCAGCUUCAGGAGAGGCAGCAGUAGCUGUGUGAAGGAAGCUGUUCGUGGCCAAAGAGGUCUUCUGGACAGCUGUGUCCUCAUCCCACUCCUGCAGAGAUCCCAAUGUCUGGUAGAGACAGUGAUGGGCAGUGAUGCAGGAGACCCAGCUUGUCUGUUCUUGGCCGCAUCAUGUACCUACAUCCAUGGGGAUCUAAGAGAGAGUCCACUGCCUUCAGCUUUGUCUCUUGAGCUGCCUCUGCCACCAAAGGCAUGUGGCUAUGUUAUAGGAACUGUGAGCAAAGGGUUGGGAAGGAAAGCAUAGGCAUGUGCCAGUGUGCCUACAUACCUGGACCUUCAUUUACUUUAAAGAACCCACCAAAUCUGCACACCUAAUGCACAGCAGCUUGUACUGUACGGCCUUCACUACAGUGUUCCUCCAUUGCAACAGAAAAGAAGCCAAACAGAUUAAGAAUCUCAAAUCCCACCAAACUGUAAAGCAGCAGAGAUAGUCACUACCCCCAUGGGAAUCCAAACACUAUGGAAUUAAUAAUUAAUAGAAUCAAAAUGAAUUAACAAAACCAGUUAAUAACCAACCAUGCAAAAACCCUGAGGUCUUCUGGGAAGGAAAACUCCAAGAUGUUCACAGAUGCAAUCCCACAGAAAUUCAACACGGAAUGGUUCCUUCACUGAAGACCUCAUUUAUUGUUUUCCCCUGCAGCUAUUGCUGCUUCCUCCCAAAUUUCCUCUCUGAAACUUCAACCCAGCUGGAAUGUGAAUGCCUGUUCCAUUAUUACCACAGCCACUGGGCUAACCGGAGCAAACAACUCUAUUUGCCAUUAACUCAGAACUUUGAGUCUCCAUCCAGGGAAAGAUGGACUGCUUAAGGGUCCUACAUUGCUGUCUGCUCAAAAGGCUUCUCACAAAUUUUAAUCUGAGGUCUAGUUUGCCCUUCCUCGAUCAUUGCUACAGAGCCAGCCUACGUGAUGCUAAGUGCCCGUCAGAGCUCCUGUGAAGGCCCUUCUGAGAUGUGGUUUGUCCCCAGAUGGGCUACUGGUGGAAAAACAAGCACCAUUUCUAAAAGUCUUGCAGUUUGGGAGUUUUUCCAGCAGCUCACAGCUGAGAGGAGGCAUCUCUGAGAUGGGCUGAAAGGUGCUCUUCCAGCUCCCUUACGCCAACAUGAGACGGGGGAACGUUUUCCAUCCUACAUUUUCAUUUACUGCAUGUUCUUCUCUAAUAAACACAUAGCUCAAAUGGAAA